CAGCCGCCACGGUAACACGUAGGGUGCGGGCGUUAAUCGGAAUUACUGGGCGUAAAGCGUGCGCAGGCGGUGAUGUAAGACAGUUGUGAAAUCCCCGGGCUUAACCUGGGAACUGCAUUUGUGACUGGCGAGCUAGAGUAUGGCAGAGGGGGGUAGAAUUCCACGUGUAGCGGUGAAAUUCGUAGAUAUUCGCAAGAACACCAGUGGCGAAGGCAGCCCCCUGGGCCAAUACUGACGCUCAUACACGAAAGCGUGGGGAGCAAACAGGAUUAGAUACCCCGGUAGUCCCUGUCUCUUAUAC
rnacentral:rRNA from 1 species